rnacentral:rRNA from 1 species
GGGAUAGCCCAGGGAAACCUGGAUUAAUACCGGAUGGAGACGGGACCCGCGAAGGCGGGACCCGGGAAAGGCGCUGCGGCGCCGCCGGGGGAUGAGUCUGCGUCCCAUUAGCUAGACGGCGGGGUAACGGCCCACCGUGGCGACGAUGGGUAGCCGGCCUGAGAGGGUGACGGCCACAUUGGAACUGAGACACGGUCCAGACUCCUACGGGAGGCAGCAGCUAAGAAUCUUCCGCAAUGGGCGAAAGCCUGACGGAGCGACGCCCGCGUGAACGAAGAAGGCCGUGAGGUUGUAAAGUUCUUUUCGGGAGGGGGAACAACCGUGGCAGGGAAUGGCCGCGGGUAUGACGUGAAUCCCGGAAUAAGCCCCGGCUAACUACGUGCCAGCCGCUGC